CACCUCUCAGGGUCACACCUGGAGAGUUUUCAGUACUCUACCAGUUUCGACUAUGGGAGGGAGAGUCAAGCAAAGGCAGACCCAUUCCAUUCCUAGAUUGACUAGUGGCUAGCAAGUGGAAAUUAAUCUGCUACAAGU